rnacentral:rRNA from 1 species
CCUACGGGAGGCAGCAGUAGGGAAUUUUCGUCAAUGGGCGCAAGCCUGAACGAGCAAUGCCGCGUGAACGAGGAAGGUCUUCGGAUCGUAAAGUUCUGUUGAAGGGGAAAAAGAGCGGAGAGAGGAAAUGGUCUCCGAUUGAUAUUACCCUUCGAGGAAGUCACGGCUAACUACGUGCCAGCAGCCGCGGUAAUACGUAGGUGGCGAGCGUUAUCCGGAAUGAUUGGGCGUAAAGGGUGCGUAGGCGGCCUGCUAAGUCUGGAGUGAAAGGUACCGGCUCAACCGGUACAGGCUCUGGAAACUGGCGGGCUAGAGAGCAGGAGAGGGCGGUGGAACUCCAUGUGUAGCGGUAAAAUGCGUAGAUAUAUGGAAGAACACCAGUGGCGAAGGCGGCAAUCUGGCUGGAAACUGACGCUGAGGUGCGAAAGCGUGGGUAGCAAACAGGAUUAGAUACCCGUGUAGUC